UACGAAGGGGGCUAGCGUUGCUCGGAAUCACUGGGCGUAAAGCGCACGUAGGCGGAUCUUUAAGUCAGGGGUGAAAUCUCAAGGCUCAACCUUGGAACUGCCUUUGAUACUGGGGAUCUCGAGUCCGGAAGAGGUUGGUGGAACUCCGAGUGUAGAGGUGAAAUUCGUAGAUAUUCGGAAGAACACCAGUGGCGAAGGCGGCCAACUGGUCCGGCACUGACGCUGAGGUGCGAAAGCGUGGGGAGCAAACAGG
rnacentral:rRNA from 1 species